rnacentral:lncRNA from 1 species
UUAUCUUUUAAUUCAAGCACCGUCGCUUAAUUAGGAACAAUAAGCUACGUUGCUUAUCUCCUUCUCUCUCUCAUCUCUAUCUCAGUUCUCUCCCCACUUCCUGAAAUCAAUAGAUUCGAUCUCCAUGUUCCUUCUGAUCCCAUUUAUGUUUCUCGUGUAACCACAAGAAUGGAACACACUUUUAGUCCUAUCUUUUUUUCAAGUCUCUGUUUUUUUUUUUUUUUUUGGUAGUUGUGCCAUCUCUGAUUGUUUGCUUUUUGUUUAUGAUGGAAAUGCAGAUAACUUCUUGGGGUUUGAGGAGGUGGUCUUCUUAUUCCCUGGAGGAUGGCCGGAUUCUAACAAGUGAAUACUCUUCUUCUCUUCUCCUCUCUUGCCGUAUGUUUUGUGUAUUGAAUUGUCUCCUUUGAAGAACAUAAUAUUGGCAAAAGAAUCUUUAAAAAUUUUAAGCACCCUAAAAUAAGAGCCUUGCAAUGGAGGAGGAAAAAUGUCAAGUUGCUUAGCUAAGUCUCUUACCCAAAUUAUCUCCUUAAAUACUAUUAUUAUAUUAUUAAGCAACCCAUUAUGAGUUGGUAGGAUAAUGAUGCUCUUAGAAAUUGUUUGUUUUUUGUUUAUGAUGGAAAUGCAGAUAACUUCUUGGGGUUUGAGGAGGUGGUCUUCUUAUUCCCUCGAGGAUGGCCGGAUUCUAACAAGUGAAUACUCUUCUUCUCUUCUCCUCUCUUGCCGUAUGUUUUGUGUAUUGAAUUGUCUCCUUUGAAGAACAUAAUAUUGGCAAAAGAAUCUUUAAAAAUUUUAAGCACCCUAAAAUAAGAGCCUUGCAAUGGAGGAGGAAAAAUGUCAAGUUGUUUAGCUAAGUCUCUUACCCAAAUUAUCUCCUUAAAUACUAUUAUUAUAUUAUUAAGCAACCCAUUAUGAGUUGGUAAGAUAUCUUAAACUAUUAGCUCAGCUAAUAGGCCCUUAUGUACAGUCCCUGUUCGA